rnacentral:rRNA from 1 species
AAUGAACGCUGGCGGUGGGCCUAACACAUGCAAGUCGAACGGCAGCACAGUAAGAUCGUGCUCUUACGGUUGGCGACUGGCGGACGGGUGAGGAAUACAUCAGAAUCUACUUUUUCGUGGGGGAUAACGGAGGGAAACUGACGCUAAUACCGCAUACGACCUACGGGUGAAAGCAGAAGAUCUUCGGAGCUUGCGCGAUUCAAUGAGCCGAUGUCGGAUUAGCUAGUUGGCGGGGUAAAGGCCCACCAAGGCGACGAUACGUAGCUGGUCUGAGAGGAUGAUCAGCCACACUGGAACUGAGACACGGUCCAGACUCCUACGGGAGGCAGCAGUGGGGAAUCUUCGACAAAGGGCGAAAGCCUGAUGCAGCAAUACCGCGUGAGUGAAGAAGGUCUUCGGGUCGUAAAGCCCUUUUGUUGGGAAAGAACAGAAGUAGAUGAAACUCCGGCUGUCCUGACGGUACCUAAAGAGUAAGCCACGGCUAACUUCGUG